UACGUAGGGGGCAAGCGUUAUCCGGAUUUACUGGGUGUAAAGGGAGCGCAGACGGCAGUGCAAGUCUGGAGUGAAAGCCCGGGGCCCAACCCCGGGACUGCUCUGGAAACUGUACGGCUAGAGUACGGGAGGGGCAGGCGGAAUUCCUAGUGUAGCGGUGAAAUGCGUAGAUAUUAGGAGGAACACCGGCGGCGAAGGCGGCCUGCUGGACCGAAACUGACGUUGAGGCUCGAAAGCGUGGGGAGCAAACAGG
rnacentral:rRNA from 1 species